GGGUCCUUUCAAAUCCAGGUCAACAUCAGGUAUGGAGAUCUUGGGAGCUUUGAUAUUUAUUUCAGGCAUCUUGAACUUGGGGCCCUUUAGUUUCGCAUCUGGACCUUCGAUAUUCACAUCAGGAACAUCAACGUCCACUUUGGGUCCUGAGACAUCAAUGUCAGCCUUGGGCAGGUUCACAUCCACAUCUGGGCCCUCUCCUUUGAAGCCAGGCAUGCUGAACUUGGGCAUUUUCACUUUGGGCAUUUUUAAGUGCCAGUCUGGGCCUUGAACGUCCACAUCUGGGACAUCAAUGUCCACUUUGGGGCCCUUGAUGUCAACUUCAGGGCCCUUGAGGUCGCCUUCCACUUUGGGCAGAGAAACGUCCACGUCGCCCUUCAUCUUUGGACCUUUCAGAUUCAGGUCAACUUCAGGCAUAGAGAUCUUCGGUGCCUUGAGGUGCAGGUCAGGCAUUUUAAAUUUGGGGCCCUUCAGUUUCCCUUCUGGACCAUGAAUAUCAAUAUCAGGAGUGUCAAUGUCCACUUUGGGUCCUGAGACAUCAAUGUCAGCCUUGGGCAGGUUCACAUCCACAUCUGGGCCCUCUCCUUUGAAGCCAGGCAUGCUGAACUUGGGCAUUUUCACCUUGGGCAUCUUCAGGUGCCAGUCUGGGCCUUGAACAUCCACAUCUGGGGCAUUAAUAUCCACUUUGGGGCCUUUAAUAUCCACGUCAGGAACUUUCAUGUCACCUUCCACUUUUGGCAGAGACACAUCCAUGUCACCCUUCACUUUGGGACCUUUCAGGUUAAGAUCAAUGUCAGGCAUGGAGAUCUUGGGGGCUUUGAUGUUCAUCUCAGGCAUUUUGAAUUUGGGACCUUUCAACUUUCCCUCUGGGCCUUCGAUAUUCACAUCUGGAACAUCAAUGUCCACCUUGGGUCCUGAGACAUCAAGGUCAGCCUUGGGCAGGUUCACAUCCACAUCUGGGCCCUCUCCUUUGAAGCCAGGCAUGCUGAAUUUGGGCAUUUUCACUUUGGGCAUUUUUAGGUGCCAGUCUGGGCCUUGAACCUCCACAUCUGGGACAUCAAUGUCCAUUUUGGCACUUUUAAGUUCAACAUCAGGAACUUUAAUCUCACUUUCAAC
rnacentral:lncRNA from 1 species